UACGAAGGGGGCUAGCGUUGUUCGGAAUCACUGGGCGUAAAGGGCGCGUAGGCGGCUUUAUAAGUCGGGGGUGAAAGCCUGUGGCUCAACCACAGAAUUGCCUUCGAUACUGUAGAGCUUGAGACCGGAAGAGGUAAGUGGAACUGCGAGUGUAGAGGUGAAAUUCGUAGAUAUUCGCAAGAACACCAGUGGCGAAGGCGGCUUACUGGUCCGGUUCUGACGCUGAGGCGCGAAAGCAUGGGGAGCAAACAGG
rnacentral:rRNA from 1 species